rnacentral:rRNA from 1 species
CUACGGGGGGCACCAGUGGGGAAUAUUGGACAAUGGGCGCAAGCCUGAUCCAGCAAUGCCGCGUGUGUGAAGAAGGCCUUCGGGUUGUAAAGCACUUUUGUUAGGGAGGAAAGUCUGGUAGCUAAUAACUGCUAGAUCUGACGUUACCUAAAGAAUCAGCACCGGCUAACUCUGUGCCAGCAGCCGCGGUAAUACAGAGGGUGCAAGCGUUAAUCGGAAUUACUGGGCGUAAAGGGUCUGUAGGCGGAUUAUUAAGUCGGAUGUGAAAUCCCCGGGCUCAACCUGGGAACGGCAUUCGAUACUGGUAGUCUAGAGUGUGCAAGAGGAUGGGGGAAUUCCUGGUGUAGCAGUGAAAUGCGUAGAGAUCAGGAGGAACAUCAAUGGCGAAGGCAGCUUUCUGGGGCAACACUGACGCUGAGAGACGAAAGCGUGGGGAGCAAACAGGAUUAGAUACCCCUGUAGUC